rnacentral:lncRNA from 1 species
CUCCAGCGGCAGGUUCAGGGACGACUACAUGACCCCGAUCGCGAGGUUCUUGGCCACCACCGGCGCGCCGCUGUUGGCGAACGUGUACCCCUACUUCGCCUACAAAGACGACCAGGAAAGCGGGCAGAAAAACAUCAUGCUCAACUACGCCACCUUCCAGCCGGGCACGACGGUGGUGGACAACGGGAACAGGCUGACCUACACGUGCCUCUUCGACGCGAUGGUCGACUCCAUCUACGCCGCGCUGGAGAAGGCCGGCACACCGAGCGUCAGCGUCGUCGUGUCCGAGAGCGGGUGGCCGU